rnacentral:rRNA from 1 species
GUAAAACUUUCAGCGACGGAUGUCUUGGCUCCCACAACGAUAAGAACGCAGCGAAAUGCGAUACGUCUUGCGACUUGCAGAAUCCAGAAUCAUCAAAACUUUGAACGCAUCUUGCGCUUCCGGGAUAUGCCUGGGAGCAUGCUUGUCGGAGUGUCUGUUG